UGAUAAAAGAGCGGUACCCACUUUAUCUUACCAAGGAUGUGCCGGAUGAUGCUCCUUUAGGCCUUAUUGUGUUUGAUAAGCAGGUAGUUUUAUACUAGAAUAUGAUUGAACUUCGUUGUUUUGAAGAUAAAUGCACCCACAGGUAAAUCAUAUCACAGUGUUUCAAGUUUUCAGUCUUGUGUUGAAUACUAGAGAAGUUGGAUCUUGCUUUGAUUUUACUUGUAAGGAAAGAGCAUUGGAGUUCUUUUCUUGGUUUCUUGUUUUGAUGAUCUUGUUGUGAUUUCUCUUGUUAUGCUUGAGGAUUUUGUUGGAUAUAUAGUGAAUUAGCUGGAAGUUCUUGCACUUCAUGUUUUGGGCUAUAGGAACUAUGGUAUCAGUGACCAAGAAACACUGAAAAAUAAAAAUUUUAAUUCAGAGAUUCUAGUUCAUGUCUCAAGGCUAAUUCUAAGUGUGUUGUAUAAAAGGUUAAUGAGAACCUUUUUUAAUUAAACUUCAAAUUGUAUGGGUGGUGGCUUUCAAAUAGAACUUUGAAGCAACUUUUACGAAAUGUCACGUGGGAAUGGUUUACAUUUGCAGAAAAGGGAUUAAAUUACUAGAUAUGCUGUUGAAUAGGUUAAAUAUAGUGAAGAUCAGGAUAUAUUUAUGUUAGGUUGGUGGAGAUAAAAGACCCCACCUCCACUAAACCUGCCACACUAAGAAGUGGAAGAAGAAUGGAGCCAAAACGUUAAUGGAAAUAGGCAGAAAACAUGGCUGGAAAUGGGCAGAAAGCAUGACACAUAUUAAGAAGAUAUUUAACCAUUAUAUUCUUUAAACAGAGGCAAGAACAAGCAGCAGAACAAGAGAGAAAUGAGAGUGUGAGUAGGUUACCAAGGUAGCAACUUCAAGGUGUGUGUGUGAUGGGAGUUGAAUUUAGACACAAAACACUACACAUGUUUUUAAACUCUUGACCUUCCAAAGCUUUCCAUAAUUUUAGUUUGCAUGACUAACUCCCACAUGAUUUGAUUGCUUGUUGCUAUUAAUUCAAUUGUUGGGUUGUGGUUUGAUUGGUUUCUUUAGUUAAUGGGAGAUGCUAUUUUAAAGAGUCAAAUUGAUAAAAUAGCAUUUUGAAUAAUAUAAAUAUAGCUUUUUUUACUAUGUAUAUUCCAAUGGAAAGAAGUCAUUUGAAAAGCCAAUUUUAUUAUUGUGGAAUAAAUAAGUGUUUUAUUUUUUUUAAUGAUUUUGAUGAUAUCUUUUUUGAACUUAACAAUUUAGUGUACUUGCUAGGUUGUGGCACUAAUCACUAUAGCACAGAAGUUGAGAUUCUUGAUGUGGGGUGGCUCCUCAUUUCUAAUGUACCGAGUUAAGCCUUAGCAUGGGAAGUUAACUUUGUCUAGGUUUAGUAUUGGAUUGUUUCCAUGAUUUAAAAGAAUUUUUGGUUAGAC